AGAGUUUGAUCAUGGCUCAGAACGUACGCUGGCGGCACGCCUAACACAUGCAAGUCGAACGCAGUAGCAAUACUGAGUGGCAGACGGGUGAGUAACAUGUGGGAAUCUGCCUUGUGGUUCAGGACAACAUUGGGAAACCGAUGCUAAUACUGGAUAAGCCCUUACGGGGAAAGUUUUAAUGCCAUAAGAUGAGCCCGCAUUUGAUUAGUUAGUUGGUGAGGUAAUGGCUCACCAAGACAAUGAUCAAUAGCUGAUCUGAGAGGAUGAUCAGCCACACUGGGACUGAGACACGGCCCAGACUCCUACGGGAGGCAGCAGUGGGGAAUCUUGCACAAUGGAGGAAACUCUGAUGCAGCGAUGCCGCGUGAGUGAAGAAGGCCUUUGGGUUGUAAAGCUCUUUUGUAGGGGAAGAUAAUGACUGUACCCUAAGAAUAAGGUCCGGCUAACUUCGUGCCAGCAGCCGCGGUAAUACGAAGGGACCUAGCGUAGUUCGGAAUUACUGGGCGUAAAGCGCGCGUAGGCCGUUGAGUUAGUUAAUUGUGAAAUCCCAAAGCUUAACUUUGGAACUGCAAUUAAAACUGCUCGACUAGAGUUUGAUAGAGGAAAGCGGAAUACAUAGUGUAGAGGUGAAAUUCGUAGAUAUUAUGUAGAACACCAGUUGCGAAGGCGGCUUUCUGGAUCAACACUGACGCUGAGGCGCGAAAGUAUGGGUAGCAAAGAGGAUUAGAUACCCUCGUAGUCCAUACCAUAAACGAUGAUUGCUAGAUGUUGGAAAUUUAUUUUCAGUAUCGCAGCUAACGCAUUAAGCAAUCCGCCUGGGGAGUACGACCGCAAGGUUAAAACUCAAAUGAAUUGACGGGGACCCGCACAAGCGGUGGAGCAUGUGGUUUAAUUCGAAGAUACGCGCAGAACCUUACCAACCCUUGACAUGUCUGUCGCGAGUUUAGGAAACUAGACUUUUCGGUUCGGCCGGACAGAACACAGGUGCUGCAUGGCUGUCGUCAGCUCGUGUCGUGAGAUGUUGGGUUAAGUCCCGCAACGAGCGCAACCCUUGUCAUUAGUUGCUACAUUCAGUUGGGCACUCUAAUGAGACUGCCGGUGACAAACCGGAGGAAGGUGGGGAUGACGUCAAGUCCUCAUGGCCCUUAU
rnacentral:rRNA from 1 species